rnacentral:rRNA from 1 species
UACGAAGGGGGCUAGCGUUGUUCGGAUUUACUGGGCGUAAAGCGCACGUAGGCGGAUCUUUAAGUCAGAGGUGAAAUCCCAAGGCUCAACCUUGGAACUGCCUUUGAUACUGGGGAUCUUGAGUCCGGGAGAGGUGAGUGGAAUUCCCGGUGUAGCGGUGAAAUGCGCAGAUAUCGGGAGGAACACCAAUGGCGAAGGCAGCUUGCUGGGACGGUACUGACGCUGAGACGCGAAAGCGUGGGGAGCAAACAGGG